CAAGGACUAAAGAAUUUUCUUUAUUUCAGGCUUUGAAGGCCUGCAGUUUUUAUAACUUAAGACCUU
rnacentral:tRNA from 1 species